rnacentral:piRNA from 1 species
UUCACAUAGGGCCUUCGAGCAGUGAGGACA